GCUGGGUAGCGAAGUUCGGUCAGGAUAAGCGCUGAAUGCAUAUAAGCGCGAAACCUUCCUCAAGAUGAGAUCUCCCAACCCGAAAGGGUAACAAGGGCACUGGAAGACGACCAGUUUGAUAGGACGGAUGUGUAAGCGUGGCGACACGUUGAGCUUACCGUUACUAAUUGCCCGUUCGGCUUGACCAUA
rnacentral:rRNA from 1 species